CAGCCGCCGCGGGAAUACGUAGGGUCCGAGCGUUGUCCGGAAUUACUGGGCGUAAAGAGCUCGUAGGUGGUUUGUCGCGUUGUUCGUGAAAACUCACAGCUCAACUGUGGGCGUGCGGGCGAUACGGGCAGACUGGAGUACUGCAGGGGAGACUGGAAUUCCUGGUGUAGCGGUGGAAUGCGCAGAUAUCAGGAGGAACACCGGUGGCGAAGGCGGGUCUCUGGGCAGUAACUGACGCUGAGGAGCGAAAGCGUGGGGAGCGAACAGGAUUAGAUACCCGGGUAGUCCCUGUCUCUUAUAC
rnacentral:rRNA from 1 species